rnacentral:misc_RNA from 1 species
GCCAGUGAUGACUCCCUCGGUUACCCUGAAAUAGACGAAGAUGCAUUGUUGAAUACACAGUGCCCUAGAAAUUUGGAGCUGAGAUGGCAGACGGAAGUUAGCUCUAGCAUUUACGCUACUCCCUUGAUCGCUGAUAUUAACACUGAUGGAAAACUUGAUAUAGUAGUUCCUUCUUUUGUUCACUACCUUGAAGUUCUUGAAGGUUCUGAUGGAGACAAAAUGCCUGGCUGGCCUGCCUUCCACCAG